rnacentral:rRNA from 1 species
UACGUAGGCAGCGAGCGUUGUUCGGAGUUACUGGGCGUAAAGCGUGCGUAGGCGGUGGUCCAAGUCUGGUGUGAAAUCUCCCGGCUUAACUGGGAGGGUGCGCCGGAAACUGGGCCGCUGGAGUACGGGAGAGGCAAGCGGAAUUCCAGGUGUAGCGGUGAAAUGCGUAGAUAUCUGGAGGAACACCGGUGGCGAAGGCGGCGACCUGGGUAGAUACGUGACGCUGAGGUGCGAAAGCGUGGGGAGCAAACAGGG